rnacentral:rRNA from 1 species
AGGGUUUGAUCAUGGCUCAGAACGUACGCUGGCGGCACGCCUAACACAUGCAAGUCGAACGAAGUAGCAAUACUUAGUGGCAGACGGGUGAGUAACAUGUAGGUAUCUACCCUUUGGCCUGGAAUAACACGAGGAAACUUGUGCUAAUACUGGAUAAGUCUUUACAGAGAAAGCUUUAUGCACCAUUGGAUGAGCCUGCACUUGAUUAGUUUGUUGGUGGGGUAAUGGCCUACCAAGACUUUGAUCAAUAGCUGAUUUGAGAGGAUGAUCAGCCACAUUGGGACUGAGACACGGCCCAAACUCCUACGGGAGGCAGCAGUGGGGAAUCUUGCACAAUGGAGGAAACUCUGAUGCAGCGAUGCCGCGUGAGUGAAGAAGGCCUUUGGGUUGUAAAGCUCUUUCGUCGGGGAAGAAAAUGACUGUACCCGAAUAAGAAGGUCCGGCUAACUUCGUGCCAGCAGCCGCGGUAUUC